CAACAACAACAACAACAACAACAACGACUCUCGUCGCAUCAUCAGCUGGAACUACCGAAAGAUAAUGUAAAAUCAGCUUGAACAGAAAAAAAAAA